rnacentral:tmRNA from 1 species
GGGGGCGACCGGUUUUGACAGCAGGUAGAAUUCGAUUGUAAGCAUGUCGAGCAUUGUGUGGGGUCUCGUAAAUCGCAACACUCAAACUACAAAUGGCAAUAACAGCUAUGCACUCGCUGCCUAAUUUUCAAGGGAAAUUGGCUUAAUCGCGCGGUUCAAGGCAAUCGUGCGACGAGUAUCCCGAAAGGCGAUUCCGCUCUUUAACCGUCUUUCAUACGGGGUAUCAUCUAUUAAGAGAUAGUGCGAUAUGUGUCUCGGUUAUCGUGCGAAAUCAAGAGGCUGGGACCCGGGUUUGGCUGCCGCCUGCCGUGCUCGGGUAGAAGGAUCAAACGGCCGGCUAAACAUGUAGAAAGCUCUUGGGUUCCUUGUUUGGACGAGGGUUCGACUCCCUCCGCCUCCACUC